GGGUGCGAUCAUACCAGCACUAAUGCACC
rnacentral:ncRNA from 5 species